AGAGUUUGAUCCUGGCUCAGGAUGAACGCUAGCGGCAGGCUUAAUACAUGCAAGUCGAGGGGCAGCGGGUGUAGCAAUACAUGCCGGCGACCGGCGCACGGGUGCGUAACGCGUAUGCAACCUACCUUUUACCGGAGGAUAGCCCCGAGAAAUCGGGAUUAAUACUCCAUAAUAUUAUAGAGAGGCAUCUCUUUAUAAUUAAAGCUCCGGCGGUAUUAGAUGGGCAUGCGUGACAUUAGCUAGUUGGUGAGGUGACGGCUCACCAAGGCUACGAUGUCUAGGGGUUCUGAGAGGAUUAUCCCCCACACUGGUACUGAGACACGGACCAGACUCCUACGGGAGGCAGCAGUAAGGAAUAUUGGGCAAUGGACGCAAGUCUGACCCAGCCAUGCCGCGUGAAGGAUGACGGCCCUAUGGGUUGUAAACUUCUUUUGUACGGGAAAAAACCCCCGGUCGUGACCGGGGUUGAUGGUACCGUAAGAAUAAGCAUCGGCUAACUCCGUGCCAGCAGCCGCGGUAAUACGGAGGAUGCAAGCGUUAUCCGGAUUCAUUGGGUUUAAAGGGUGCGUAGGCGGACUAUUAAGUCAGUGGUGAAAUCCUCCCGCUUAACGGGAGAACUGCCAUUGAUACUGAUAGCCUUGAGUUUGGUUAAGGUAGGCGGAAUGUGUAAUGUAGCGGUGAAAUGCUUAGAUAUUACACAGAACACCAAUUGCGUAGGCAGCUUACUGGACCGACACUGACGCUGAGGCACGAAAGCGUGGGGAUCGAACAGGAUUAGAUACCCUGGUAGUCCACGCCGUAAACGAUGAUUACUCGCUGUUGGCGAUACACAGUCAGCGGCUAAGCAAAAGCAAUAAGUAAUCCACCUGGGGAGUACGGCCGCAAGGUUGAAACUCAAAGGAAUUGACGG
rnacentral:rRNA from 1 species